rnacentral:piRNA from 2 species
AAAGUGACAGCCUCAAAGGAUGUUGUGAC